rnacentral:rRNA from 1 species
CCUACGGGAGGCAGCAGUGGGGGAUAUUGCACAAUGGGGGGAACCCUGAUGCAGCGACGCCGCGUGGGUGAAGGAGUGCUUCGGCAUGUAAAGACCUAUCGGCAGGGAAGAAGCAAGACGGUACCUGACUAAGAAGCCCCGGCUAACUACGUGCCAGCAGCCGCGGUAAUACGUCGGGGGCGAGCGUUAUCCGGAUUCACUGGGUGUAAAGGGAGCGUAGACGGCCAUGCAAGCCAGGGGUGAAAGCCCGGGGCCCAACCCCGGGACUGCCCUUGGAACUGUGCGGCUAGAGUGCGGGAGGGGCAGGCGGAAUUCCUGGUGUAGCGGUGAAAUGCGUAGAUAUCAGGAGGAACACCGGCGGCGAAGGCGGCCUGCUGGACCGCGACUGACGUUGAGGCUCGAAAGCGUGGGGAGCGAACAGGAUUAGAUACCCGGGUAGUC